GCGGGCCUUCUGGGUCUGCAGCGCGGGUCGGCUGGGUUGGUUCCGGAACGCGGCACCUGUAGGUCUCGUGGCGGCCUCGGUGCCCAAGACCUCCAGACGGACGCCCAGAGAGUACUGCCUUCUGAGGGCUCUGCCUUUCCUCCAGAAGAGGAGGAAAUGCCCAUAUUACAGCAGGUGACAUUCAAGGAUGUGGCUGUGGACUUUACCCAAGAGUAGUGGGAGCAUCUGGACCCUUUCCAGAGACACCUGUACAGAGAAGUGAUGUUGGAAAACUACGGGAAUCUCAUCUCCUUGGGUGUCAAGGAUGAGAAUGAUGGGAUUCUCCCUUGGCAAGUAUCUCCAAGAGAAAAACCCUACCGUGUGGGGCUUUCUCAGUGUGGCCAAGACUUCAGACAGCUCAGAAACCACCUACUUCACCAGCAAACCCAUACAGGAGAGAAGCCCUUGCCAUAUAAUGGGCGUGGAAUAGCCUUCAGUGUAAGGACAGCCGACCUUAACCUUCCCAGGCUCCUAUCCAGAGAAAAGCCCUACCAGUACACGGAGCGUUCCAGAGUCUUCAACUCAUGAUCCACUCUGAGAAGGCACAGGAAGGACCACGUGGGAAAGAAACCUCACACAUGUGAGGAAUGCGGGAAGGACUUCAGCUGCAACUCUAACCUGUCCAUCCACCCACGAGUCCACAUGGGUGAGAAGCCCGAUAUGUGUCAAGUGUGCAGGAAGGACUUAAGCUGUAGCUCCAACCUCUCGAACCACCAGCGUGUCCACAUGGGCGAGAAGCCCUUCAGAUGCCGUGACUGUGGCAAGGACUCCAUCUGCGUGGCAGCCCCGCAGAUCCACCAGAACGUCCGCCCAGGAAGGAAGCCCCAUGCUUGCGAGGAACUGGAGCAGAUGUGCAGGCCUUAGGUCAAAGGUGCCUUCUUAUCCCUGCCUGACAACACUUCCCCAUUCUGGCUCCACAAGACCCAAAGUUUUGAAAUCAGCCUCUGAGUCAGUCAUGCAGCUUGUCCCAGGAUGUCAGCCUUCAGAGAAAUAAACAGAAGAAAAAAACCAGAAGAAGAAGAUGAAGAUGAAGAAGAUGAAGAUUGAAAGUCCGGGUGAGGCGCCCAGAGCAAGCGUUCCUGCCAGGAAUACCGCGAAAAACCGGUUAUUCUUUGUAGGCGUGUUGGCUGCAAACGCUUUUUAUUGGUCAACGAGAGGUGAGCCCGCCUCCUUUGCACAUCCAUUGGCUAGGAGCUCUGUCUAUAUUUGAGAUACCUGCAUUCUUCCUUUCUUUCCCUGUGUUGCUUUCAAACGGAGUCCAGUGUAUUUAACUGUGUCUCCCAUUGACCACUGUUUCUGGAGGCCUGCCUCCAAAUGAAGGCACAGGCAAACACGAGGCCGGAAGAAGCUGGACAGGCAGGUGGCAUUGAACGUGGUUCCAGAGCUUUACGUUGUGCUGGCAAGAGAUCGCCGGACGUGGGAUGCUGGGGACCAGCGCCGCGUGAAGUCCUCUGGGUCAGUCCUGUGUGCCUGGGAAUUCGGCAGUCGCGGUGGCGAGGGUCCCAACUCGGGCUCUAUACUCAAGCAGUAAACCUACAGCUCUUUCUGCUUUCCAACCGGACUUGGUGGGCACCUGCACAGAGACUGAUCUACAGGGUUUCCCACCUCCGACUAGCAGGGUCUUGAUAUUAAAAGGAAAAGAGGGCAUUUUCCAGCCCACCCAGGUAAAAUGCCCGUUUAUUUUCUGGCAGGUGGCUUUUUGUUUGUUUGUUUGUUUGUUUGUUUAAUAUUUUAUUUAUUUAUUUGACAGAGAGCACAAGCAGGGAGAGGGACAGCGAGAGAGGGAGAAGCAGACUCCCCACUGAGCAGGGAGCAUGUUGCAGGCAGGGCUGGAUCCCAGGACCCUGAGAUCAGGACUUCAGCAGAAGGCGGAUGCUUAACCGACUGAGCCAUCCGGGCGCCCCUUGGCGUGUGUUUUUUGCAGGACGCCCUUUGUGAAGCCUUGGUGGAUGGAUUCAAGUUUAUUAAAUGAAUAAAUUCCUGGUUAAGAGUGCAUUGAGGGGCGCCUGGGUGGCUCAGUGGGUUAAGCCUCUACCUUCAGCUCAAGUCAUGAUCUCAGGGUCCUCCGAGCCCCGCAUGGGGCUCUCUGCUCAGUGGGGAGCCUGCUCCACACACCCCCCACCUGCCUUUCUGCCUGCUUGCGAUCUCUGUCAAAUAAAUAAAUAAAAUCUUAAAAAAAAAGUGCAUUGAUACCAUAGCGCCCCAACAUUCCAAAAAAAAAAAAAAUCCAAUUCUUGUUAGCUGUGUUAUUUAGUGGAACAUCUGUGAUAAGGACAGCCAGUUACAGUGGCUUUGGGGAUUUUAUGCUAUUAAUGAAACCGUUUAGUUUUGAUUGGCUUAAGCUUCAUAAAAUUUAUUUUGAGAAAUUGCUGUGAAAGGCACAACAAGUUACUUUGGAAUUCUUUUAAGUUCCUGACUUUGAUACCUCAGUAUUAGUAUUAUUUACUAUUAUUUUUAACAUUAUUUUUGGGGCAGAUGUACAUAGUUUUUGUAGAAAGAACAGCCAGUUAAGGAGGUUAUGGGAUUUUUGGUUUGUUUAAAAACUAUAACCCUGGUUUGAUUCUUUUAGUAAUAGGUAAUAGCACCACCUUCCCAAAUCCUUUAAAAUAUUACUCAGUGGAUCUUUAAUUUUUGUAGGAUUUAUUUCAUAGCUUUGGAUGAGAGACCUCAUGCAGGCUUAGGUACCCAUGCCAAAUGAAAUUUUAUCCUUGGGUAUGAUGCAUUUUCUUCUUUGACAUGCAUUAGUUUAGAAGUGUGUUUAGUUUCCUGAGUUUUCCUUUUCUCCCUGUUCUUCUGCGGUGUCCAGCUUAGAACAAAUACUGACAGAAAAGAAUAACCUGAGGGAUUUGGAGAGAUACUUUUUACUUACCAUUGAGAUUGAUUUUUAGUCAUUGUGCAUCAGGCACAGGCCUGGGAGGCCAACAUUCAGAUCUCAGAUCUAAUCUUUAUUAUCUGUCUGACCUUGAACCCACCCAUGAGCUUCUCUGUGGCUUUGAUUCCUCAUGGGGAAAAUGGUAGCCUCCAGAGUGACUUGCUGCCAGCUUCACGUUGAUGAUCCAGGGGAAGGGCCUGGCCUCCAUCCCUCCUUGCUACUCCAGCCUUUGUCUUGUUAAUUGAAGAAAUACUGCCAUAAACACAUCUUGGAGAUGUGUCUGGCUUUUACCCUCCUAAGGGUUUAUGGAGAAACCCCUUCACAUUUGCAAUUGCUUCCUCUGGUGUCUGUCAUUCCUAACCCACCUGACUCGAUCUGGUAUGAUCUUAAUUGUGUGUGUUUGCAUAGAUAGAAUUUUGGCUUACCUGUCUCUUCAGAGUCUGAUUUCCCCUACCCCCUAAUCCAGGAUGUGGAGUUUCUCUGGACUCCUUCCCAGCCCAUCCUAGACUCCUGUCCUCUUCCCCCUCCCUCCCCAUCACUGCAGCUUUAUUGCUUAAACAUUUCAUAACGGACAUCCCUUUCUGACUUUGUAUUAUGUUAAAUUAUAUUGAUAUCCUCUGGGUGUCUGUGCUGUAUUACAGUUCAUGGAGGCAGGUGGGCCUACGGAAGAAUUUGCCUUCUGUUGCUGAAGGAGGGGUCACAGAGAGUUGUUGAGCAGAGAUGGGGAGACACUGGGCUGAUGUUUCUUUAAGGGUUGCCCUAAGGGGGGGGGGGCUGGACCUCCUCAGGCAAAUCUUGUUUUUAUUCUUUUAGGUCUGAAUUGUGGGGAAAUCUUGUAGAGAUUGAAGAGGUAAGUCUAAGCCUUCAACAUUCACAUUGAGAAAGGCACAGGAGAGGGCUGCAGUUUUGGCUGGCAAAAUGGUAGAUAGGUGGACAGGAAGAAAAUAUAACCCAGAGGGAGAAGAGAAAAUGCCACUCAGAGAUCAGGGCAAAAUCCCAAAGUGUCUCUUUCCCUGUGGUUAUCACCAGGAUGUGGAUUCCCCUCCCAGCUCCACCCCUGCAGUGCCAGUGAAGGACAGCGGAGCUGUGGGGAUGAGGGUGUGAUUGGUCCAUUCAAAUGCACACACAGAUACAGGCGUGGCACCUCCUGGCCCCGCUGCCCCACUGGGGAAGUUCAGUGCUUCUCAGUGCGCAGCAUAUCUUUAUUUUCAGUUGACACAUCUGGUCUAUAUGGCACCUGCUGGUUUGGUUUUGAUCUCAUGUCAUGGUGAUAAUUGAGACAGUGACGCUUAACACUUUAAAAUUCUUUAGUUUGCGGGUAUGUGCUUGGGAGAUAGUUUUUUAUUUUUUUAUUUUUUUUUAAAGAUUUUAUUUAUUUGGCAGAUAGGGAGCAAGCGAGAGAGCACACGCAUGGGGAGCAGAAGGCAGAGGGAGAGGGAGAAGCUUCCUGCUGAUGACCUGAGCUGAAGGCAGACACUUAACUGGCUGAGCUCUCCAGGUGCCCCUGGAGUGUAUUUUAUCCCUACACCAUUUCUCGAUUCAGACAGACUAGCUGUGUUUCUAGUGCUUAAUAGCCACAUGUGAUGCGUCAUUGGACAGCUCUAGGGAACGAUUUUAUGAACUCACUCCACCUCUCUUCUUGCCUCCUUUAUUCUCAUGGACCUCCACAUCCCUGGAGCCUGUGACUCCUGCCUCUGUUUCCUCUCUUGCCAUUUGUUGCAUUCCUUUUCUGAUACAGAGACUCAUUUCCAGUCUUAAUAUUCUGCCCUGAUUUCUUCUGUCUUACUUUCCUUUGAGAAUCACAGGUUUUUUUUUUUUUUCUUUUAUCCUUCAUCUCAGCCUUUCCCCAUAAGAUGUGCCAUGCUUUUUUGUCUUGGUUGGGCAUUUAUUGGCAUUACUUACUAAUAAUCAUUUUCUUUGUCCCAUCAGUUACAUUAAACACUUGCCCCGUUUUUUUUCACAGAUCUUUCUUGACAGAUCUCCAGAUUAAUUUUAGAGUUAAACUGGAAAACUGGAAUGCAUGAAUUUAGAGGUGUGUAGCCCCCUUAUGCUUAUGUUUCUGCCUUGAUUUUUAAAAUAGCAUAUGUAGCUAUAUAUAUAUUUUAGAAUAUAAGAUCUCUUAACUAUUGCUUUGCUUGUUGACUAUUUUUAAUAAUUAUUUUUAUA